CUGGAUCUCAGAAGGAAGGGCUUGUGCUUGCUUCAGGAAAUCAGACCUGCUUUUGAACUGGACUAUUUUGGUUCCCCUUGCAAGAACUCUGGUGGCUCUCUUGGCCGUGCAAGCUCCUAGACGUCACAGUACAUGGAAAAAUGCAAGCUUUACCAGACUUGAAAGCGCCAUGUGAGGCCCUUCCUUCCCCCAGCCUGGAGCCCUGUGCACAGAGCUCCAUUGUGGUCACCCUCGAGGACAAGGGUCUCUGGAUGAAGUUUCAUCAGAUUGGAACCGAGAUGAUCAUCACCAAAUCCGGCAGACGAAUGUUUCCACAAUGCAAAAUCAAAGUCUCUGGCUUAAUCCCAUAUGCCAAGUACCUCAUGCUGGUAGAUUUUGUUCCAAUGGACAACUUCAGGUACAAGUGGAAUAAAGAUCAGUGGGAAGUUGCUGGGAAAGCAGAGCCCCAGCUCCCUUGUCGCACGUACGUUCACCCAGAUUCCCCAGCUCCUGGCAGCCACUGGAUGAAAGAACCUGUCUCCUUCCAAAAACUGAAGCUCACCAACAACACUCUGGAUCAACAUGGACAUAUCAUCCUGCACUCCAUGCACCGUUACAAGCCGCGCUUCCACAUCGUGCAGGCAGACGACCUCUUCAGUGUCCGCUGGAGCAUCUUCCAGGUCUUCAGCUUCCCUGAGACUGUCUUCACUUCUGUCACUGCCUACCAGAACGAGCAGAUUACAAAGCUCAAGAUUGACAACAAUCCAUUUGCUAAAGGUUUCCGUGAACAUGGGAAGAACACUCGAAGGGAAGGACGAGCCAAAUGCCAGAAGCCCAGUCCAGCCAAGAGCCAGAAGAGGAAGCUGCCUGAGGAAAAGGAGCAUGAUGCCGAGGAACGUGAUUUUGAGAAGGAUGAGAAUGUAGAUGUGAAGGAAGAGAGUAACCCCGUGGUGGUCAGCAGUGGAUAUCCCUUCUGGGGCUCGGAGCAGAAUGGCAGCCAGGCCUUCCCUGCGCCAUCGCCGGUGCCUGCGGAGCAGAGGGAGGGUCUGGCCAGGGAGCAGCAAGUGCCAACACCAUCCUACCAGACAUAUCGGUUCCACGAAGCCGGGGACAGCCAGCACCUUCCCGCCCGCGAUGCCACGGCCUUGAACGAUUUCCGGGCAAGGUGCCACGCCUUGGAUCUCGCCACGGUGCCAGAGCAUGACUCCAAACAGCUCCCAGAGGGCUUCACCAACCUGCCUCCGCUCCCCCCGCCUCUGCCUCCUCCCCAGGACUACACGGGAGUGGUGAACAUGGCUCUAGACUCUGUGGGGAAACCCGGGGCCCGAGCGCCCGUGUACAGUCCCUAUGGCACCGAGCAGGGCCUGGGGCAGUGGGUGGUGCCUCCCCACAGCCAGUACAGGGCAAUGAGCUACUCAGCCUUCUCCACGGAGUACAACACACAGGGCGCUCCGGGACAUGCCCACGGGACCAUGGCGGAGUGGAGCCAGUACCCUCUGUUCCCCUACGCCUGCUGGUGAACGGGGAGGACCCUUCCCAGUGAAAAAACUGAGGGAAAACUGUAAAUGAGAUCAGAUUUGCUCUGGGGUGUUGGACUUCUGGAGCCUCGCCUGCACUAGGCAGAGGUAUUGCUGCAAGUGGUAGAAUGGGACACCUUCACUUCCUUGUCUCCUUGCACAACAGCCUUCACCAUGUUUCACAAACAGUGGCUAAACUGGUGGCUGCCCCAGCUGUGUCACUGUGGAUCAGGCAGAAUAAAUGUCCUGCAGUGUCUUUUUUCCCAGCAGGAGUAGGAAACCACAGGAUCUCCAAGGGCAGUAGUUAAAGAGCUGCUGAACUUGCAGUCACAGGCUGUUUGUACCUCGUAUUUGGCAGUUUCCAAAAUCCCUUCCUCCCAGGACUUGGGGCAAGGAGAUAGGGGCUAAGGAGUUUCAGUAAGCCAUCCAGGUGGCACAAAAGCUGCAGACAAUAUUGCAAAGACAACUGAAACAAGCAAUCCUGCUGACCUUUGAGCAGGUUCCUCAGUUAGUAUAGUCAAACUAAAGCUAGUCUUGCCUUUCUUCCAGCAGCAGAAGAGAGUAAAAUGCACAGCAAGGAGUGUCUGGAGCAUAGCAGUGGGUCAUGGAGGCAGGGAAGAGUUUGUUCCAUGCAGGAGAAGCAGCAGGAAGGCUGUGUGUUGUGUCUGCAUGUCCCUGUGCCCAUCCCUCCUCUGUCAGCCCUAGAUUCAAGCAAAUCUGAGCAGGAGGAACCCCGGGAGAGGUAACGCAGCUCACAGGACACAGCGAAGGAAGUCGGGAAGGUGUUUCUCCCCCGCAGCACUUCCCAGAGCAAACACUGAAGCAUUCUUGAGACCUGGGCCUGAGCAGCGGUGUCAGACGAAAUUUUAACCAGGGAUGAAGCAAUCCUUCAGCGCAGGGGUGUACAACUACAGUGUUCCUGCCCAGACAGCACCCUGCUUGGAAGGACUCUGUGGAGACAGAGCUCUCCGGAGCAGCUCAGGCACCGCCCAGCAACAGUCGGCUGAAGGGGGAAAUGGGAAUUGCUGUGAGCGUGAGGCUGAUGCUCAGCAGGAAUCCAGCCCAGUGCUGCGUAUCCAUCAUCACGACAGACUUGGAGCCAAGUCACCAGCUGCGAUACCUGGAAAGAGAAAAGCUGCUUCUCUUCAAGGUCAGUGGAUUAAUGGUAUCACUGGUCACAAGAUGAGGGAAAAAAAGAGAAAGUGUAAGAUUACAGAAAUGGAUUCAGAAUAUAGAAGUCCCCGUGAGAGCCCCUGAACUACCUCAUAGUCCAGAUCAAAUUAGUGAAGUAACAGAAUGCACUAAAAAACUGUGGGAUUACAGUCUAGAAAUACAGGGUGCCAUUACUUCACAGUAAUGAAAAAUGGGCAAGUUUGAUUUUUUAUAUUUUUUAUGACAAGUUAAGGGUAGCAACAGUGGCUGGGUUUGUCACUUCUGUCAGGAGCAUCCCUGGAGGUCUCCAGCUUGGCUGCUGAAUGGUGGUGGGCUGAAAACAAGUUGAGUGCCAAGAGUUUCAAACCGACUCCUGUUGUUCACUUCUGUCAGUCCCUUCUGUCUGUUCAGAACAGCAUCCACUCCUCACUCGCCUCUCCCCCCACAUCAGUUGGGUCUCAGGUGCAGGGCAAGCUGGAGGAAGGCAAAGCAGCAUGUCCAGUGCUGCCCUUCUGCCCCUGCCGCCAUCUGAGAGCCCAGUGAGAGCUGCUCUUGCUCCAGGGUCUGGAGAGGAUUCAGUGGAUAGUGCAGACUGGGAUCACAGUGCAGCACAGGGGGGUUAACAGUCCCUGGGAUCCACACUGUCCCUUGUGCUUUAGUGAUACAUUUCUAGACCAAAAGCAAGUGACGGAUUUUUCAGCACUGACUUUCAGCUGCCCUUGUUGGACCAGCCAGGACGCACAAAGCAGGAGCCAGUUCCCUGCGGAUACCCCAGAUUUAGUUCUGAUCCCAAUUGUCUGGUGCGCCAGCGGCGGGUUAGACUAAUAACUCGUGCAGGGAGGGUUCUGGUUACAAAAUGCCUGGAAUGAAGUAAGCAGGUGCUGGGAAGGUUAUCUGAGGGGAGCACUGUGUUAAUUCCCUAUCCCUCGCUCCCUAUGCCUACCUUGGAAGCAGCGUGGAUGGUGUUUUCCACAGGUGAGGCUGCACCUGGCACACAAGGGGUGCACUGAGCAGGGGCAGUAGCUCAGCUUUAGCUCCCAAGGGUCAUGCCAGUCUGGAGCAGCAGGGAUGGGUCCGAGUCACAGUGGUGGGUGCUGGAUUCCCAGGCUGCUCCCACGGUGGGCAGCUGGAGCAGCGUGUGGAUAACCUGACCCAAGGUAGGCACACACCAGUCUGUGUUAAUGAGUCACAGUAAUUGGUGCAACUCUGGCUCUAGGCAAGCUUGUAGGGCUUGGAUUUCGGAGCAGGAGGCUCACUCUGGGACAGCUGUGAUGUUUUCUUUCCCUGUGCCUGCCUGUCCCGCUUGGACACGCAGUCCUGCUGCAGGGGGGCUCAGCUGUUUGUGCAGCAACUGCCAGUUCACAGCUCGGGGUAUGGAGGUUUCCUGAAAUUGGAACUGCUUUACCUUGCCCCGCUGAGCUGUGACUGGUGGUCCAACAGCUGCUAUGGGAGCAGCUGACCUGCCCUCUAAAAAAAAAGGCAGAGGGAACAAUGAAGGGGAUAGAAACUGCUACAGUUGCUCCAAGGUGAGCUGUCCCUGUUGGUGAGUGUGGACCUGAAGAGCUUUUGUAUGUGCACAAUCUACACUAUGAAAAAUCAUGUAAAAAAACUACAAGGAACUGUGUUCUGCUGUGGCUGCAUUUUAUCUGAGUGUAUUUAGCUGUAUUUCCUACUGGUGUAAGCUCCAACAGACACAACUCUGGGUAUGCCCUAGAGAGGUGUUUGUCAUCACACUGGUUUAGAAAUAAAACCUUUUAAAUGAGUGACAAACUGAUGAACCCCACUCAUCCCAGCCAGCUGGCACAGAAAAAUUAAGGCUUAUACUGCCUGUUGUAGGACUGACCUAACUAAACUAGUUCAGAUUUGCACUGGUGAGAGCUUGGAUGCAGGUAAGCCAGAAAUACACCCAGGUGUAGUUACUGAUUACCUUUGACUUUCGGCUGAGCACACUUGGCUGUUGCUGGAGCUUUCGGUGGCUGCUGUGCUGGGCACUCCUGGUACAAAUCCCCCAUCGCAGCUGCAGCGAGAGGAGGGCUGUGCCAGCCAGUGGAGAAGGGCACCCACGCUGUGAUCCAGUGUGCAGGAAGCAGAUCACAGCUGGAAGAGCAGGGACACUUGGGUUUGCCACAUAAAACAAAAGAUGCCAUGAGAAGCAGCCACAGCAACGGGCCAGCACUGCCAGCUUUUGCCAGGAAGCCAAAUGCACACAAAGCAGCUUGAAAC